CGCAUCUCAAUUUCCAUUGCAUUUCAACGUUGCCGCGUGUAUCGUACUCGUCGCAUUUUCCGUGUCUCAUCAAACCCUGGUUAUGAUCGGUCAAACGCAAAGUUUGUUCUUAUUUCGCCGAUCGAACCUCGAUCUGGUUCUUAGGGAUGAUUUUCGUUGGAGGUUUCGGCGGCACCGGUGAUUAUCGUACGUGAUCUUUCUGCGGUGGAUGUUGAUGGUCUCGUGUCGAAAGACUCGAAUCAGAGUAAUUAACGCCAGAUUCGCUGUGUAAUUUAGAAUUUAUUGGUAAAAUAAUCCUUUAGGAGUUUAUAUUUUAUAUGGUUAUUCGAUAUUCGAUCUGAUUGGUUGAAGUCAAGGUUUUAAAUAACGGGUUGCAAUUGCGACCGCAUAGGUGGCAUGUGGCAUUUGUCUGCGAUUUGCCGCGAUAUCAAUAAACGCGAGGAAACUGCAAUGCGACUCGCAACCGAUACUUAAAACCUUGGUUGAAGUGUGGUGGUUAUGGUUGAUACUUGCGAGAGAGGAGUGUCUGUGAGAGGUAUAUAUACAGCAAGAAUGCAAGAUAGUUGUUCUGUUUUUUUUUGUUAUUGUUAAUGGACCUUUGCCAUGUCAGGUGCGCUUGCAUGGCGGGUCCGAAAAGCGCUAAUAAAAAUUAAUAUUGUUUUUUGUUUUGGGGAGGGAAGGUUUCGGGGGUGUUUUUUUUUCUUUUUGGCCCCGAUUCUCUUCUCUCUCUAUGGUGUUGUUGUGUUUUUUCCUUUCCUUUCUUUUCCUUUCUCUCUUCUAUGUCCUGUGAAUUUUUCUAUACUCUAGUUCGCGUCGUAAGGGCUCAACAACAUGACAAAGAAUUGGCAACUCGGCAAGGUACAUAUUACAUAGUGCUGAACGUACGCUUUAAUUUAUUUUAAUUUCGUUGUUUACAAUUUAAUUCAAUUUUUCAAUAUAAUGGUGCCUCACAUGUAAAUAAAUUAUAAUUGGCUUUAUAGUUUCGUAAUUUAAACAAAAAGGCAAUCGCUACAAUUGACUGCAUGUUUUAGAUAUUUGUUCACAGUAUGGUGUUAUGGUUUCGUAAGUAAAAUGGUUUAUUUACUCGUAUGUAUACAGUUUAAUGUUUUUGUGAUUAGAAUUGAAUUGAAAGUCGCUUACUAUUAAAUGAUUCGUUAAAUAAUCGUAAUCACUAUACAAUCUCCUUCAAAAGAGAUCAAUGUAGCUAGCUCGCUCUUGACUGUAUGAUGGUUUACACCCAUGUAUACUGUGACCUAUUUUAUAUUUUCAGGAUUUGGAUUGAAUUUGAAGCUUCUUACAAUUAAAUGACUCGUUCAAUAUAAUUGUAGUCAGGAUACAAAUCUACUUCGUUCACCAUAAUUUUGAUUGAUUUAAUUAACUAUUAUGUUCACUAUAAUUUUGAUUAAUUUAAUUAACUAUUAAUCUUUGAGAAUAGCAAUAAUUUUUAAUAUUGGUUUCGAGUUUUUAACUUGUUCAAUAAGAAGUUGCAAGUUUUAUUUAUGUUCAGCAUACAUUUGCUAUUUAUCAACCUAUAUCUGUAUUUUAAAUCAGAUGUAGAAUUGUGCCUGUAUUUUAGGGUUGAUUGAUGUUUUGCUGCCAUUGUAAUAUGUAGCUUUUAGUUGCACCUGUACUUGGUUCUUUUGGGGAUAUGUGGGAGUUUGAUGUAUUAUAUAUAAAAUGUGCCAUGGAUAGCUUAUGUGGCAAUGAGAGUACAGAUGGCUGUAAAUAACUGCAUGUAGUGUAGCUUCAAGAUUCCUUCCAGUUUUCUGUUUUGGAUCAUCAUCAGAUUUGGCCUUUUUUCAAGAAUUGUGCAACUGUAUUACAUAUUCGUUGAGUUUAGAUGUCUGAAGAAGGAGCGAGAUAUCUGCCAGAUGAUGAAAUAAUGCAUCCUUAUGUUUCGCAAAGAAGCAGGGAAGGACAUUAUGACUCUCUGCUUGAGGUUUAUGUUAAUUGUCCUUCACUUGAAGGAAAUUUAAUUUAAGUGAUGUACUGUUUGAUCAAGAGAUUUGGCUUUGCUGCAUCAUCAUCAAACGAUUGUGCUAUGCCCUGUCCUGUAAUAAUCUACUUCGAUAGUCUUGGGUAGAUGUUUUUGUAGCCUUGAUCGUUGUUAUUGAAAUUCAUCCUCAUUUUCUGUAGUUCUUGGGAACAAAGUAUUUAUCACUGACUAUUUGGAGUAGUUUGACUAUGGCAAGCGCACUUAAAAUUGGUUCUCAAUUUUGGGUUUUGUAAUUUGCCUAUCAAAUAUUGUUGCAAGAGGUGGAGGAUCAUCAGCUUUGACUUCUUGGUUUUUAAGUUAAUGGAAUGAUUUUUUUUUUGAUGCGAUAACUAAUUAAUUCUUUGGGAGGAUCAGAAUAUCCGCAAUGCUAUAUACUUUUGGGGCCGAAAUGGGAAGAUUGAUUUAGAGUUAUUAGAGACGAUGGUGUUAUGGCUUUUUUCUAGGCUGUAUGAAAAAUUUGUCGGAGAUGGUAUACAUUAUAUUGAAGUAGUUCAAUCAUUUUUUCUGUAAGUUCUCUGCAUUUUUUUCUGAAGCAUAAAUCCAUUCUUAAUGUGGAUUUUCACCAUUUUAAUGUUAAAAACAGGACUACACAAUAAUAAAGAGAAACAUGUUUUUA